rnacentral:rRNA from 1 species
AUUGAACGCUGGCGGCAUGCUUUACACAUGCAAGUCGAACGGUAACAGCACUUCGGUGGCUGACGAGUGGCGAACGGGUGAGUAAUACAUCGGAACGUGCCUAGUAGUGGGGGAUAACUACUCGAAAGAGUAGCUAAUACCGCAUGAGAUCUAAGGAUGAAAGCAGGGGACCUUCGGGCCUUGCGCUACUAGAGCGGCUGAUGGCAGAUUAGGUAGUUGGUGGGAUAAAAGCUUACCAAGCCGACGAUCUGUAGCUGGUCUGAGAGGACGACCAGCCACACUGGGACUGAGACACGGCCCAGACUCCUACGGGAGGCAGCAGUGGGGAAUUUUGGACAAUGGGCGCAAGCCUGAUCCAGCAAUGCCGCGUGCAGGAUGAAGGCCUUCGGGUUGUAAACUGCUUUUGUACGGAACGAAAAGCCCUCUUCUAAUACAGGAGGGUCAUGACGGUACCGUAAGAAUAAGCACCGGCUAACUACGUGC